GACGGAGGGAGCAAGCAUUGCUCGGAAUAAUUGGGCGUAAAGGGUGCGUAGGCGGUUUUUUAAGUGGAUUGUUAAAGACCUGGACUUAAUCUAGGGAAUGCAAUUCAUACUGAAAAACUCGAGUGUGGGAGAGGAAACAGGAAUUCCUCAUGUAGAGGUGAAAUUCGUAGAUAUGAGGAGGAACACCAGAGGCGAAGGCGAGUUUCUGGAACACAACUGACGCUGAGGCACGAAAGCGUGGGGAGCAAACAGGAUUAGAUACCCUGGUAGUCCACGCCCUAAACGAUGAUUGCUAAACGUCGGAAAUGAAUAAUUUUCGGUGUUGAAGCUAACGCGUUAAGCAAUCCGCCUGGGGAGUACGGUCGCAAGACUAAAACUCAAAGGAAUUGACGGGGACCCGCACAAGCGGUGGAGCAUGUGGUUUAAUUCGAUAAUCCGCGAAAAACCUUACCAGCUCUUGACAUGGGAGUCGCGGACUUGAGAGAUCAAGUCCUUCAGGUUAAGCUGGACUCCGCACAGGUGGUGCAUGGCUGUCGUCAGCUCGUGUCGUGAGAUGUUGGGUUAAGUCCUUUAACGGGCGCAACCCCUAUCUUUAGUUGCUAACGGGUAAAGCCGAGAACUUUGAAGAAACUGCCAGUGAUAAACUGGAGGAAGGUGGGGAUGAUGUCAAGUCAUCAUGCCCCUUAUGAGCUGGGCUACACACGUGCUACAAUGGCGGCUACAAUAGGUUGCAAUGGGGCGACCCUGAGCCAAUCCUUUAAAAGCCGUCUCAGUUCGGAUUGUUCUCUGCAACUCGAGAACAUGAAGUUGGAAUCGCUAGUAAUCGCAGAUCAGCACGCUGCGGUGAAUACGUUCACGGGUCU
rnacentral:rRNA from 1 species